GCUGACAGGAGCGCAGCGAGCUCCGCUAAAACAAGGCUUGGUAUUUUUAGAGCACUUUCCCUGCAUAAGGACUCAGAGCACUUUGCCACGUUUGUAAGCAGUCGUUCCACAGGUGUUGCAACACCUGUACUGUGGAACUUCCUGCCACUUGACUGUUAGUCACUGAACUCUUUCAAAAUGACUUUAUGUUUCAGCAGGGACUUGGCCACAUCUGGUCUUAGAACAUAUUUAAACAUCUAAAGAAAGUUUAUUGUUUUAACUGUUUCAAUGUUUUAGGUAUGUUUUUAUUUUAUUUUUAAUUGUGUGUUUUUUUCAGUUACAGAACUGUUUGUCACCCAGGGGGGCAGAUAGGGCUUCUCAACCCGGCAAGGGGGAGGAUAAGCCAUCCAGGGGAAGGAAACUCUGAUCCUAAACCUCUGCUGUCUUUGGGAUAUCUUUGGGAGACGAAAUGAAAGGGCUCAGGAGGAUACCGCAGAGGACCUUAAGGUCCAUGAAUAACCAUAGUUUAGAGGUCCUGGGCCCUAAGGAAGUCAGACUUUCCUCCACCAGGGCCAGGGCCUUCUCAGUGAUGGCUCCGACCUGGUGGAAUGCUCUGUCCCAUGAGACCAGGGCCCUGCAGGAUUUAACCUCCUUCCGCCGGGCCUGUAAGACAGAGCUAUUCCGCCUGGCCUUUAAUUUGAAUUCAGCCUGAUCUUUUAUUUCCCUUCUCUUCCUUCCCCCUCCCCUUUUAUGAAGAUCAUCCACUCUGAGACCCCACAGCUAAUUCUCCCCUGGCCUCCUCACUGGCCCAAGUAGGACCAAUUCAGCCAGCUAGCCCUGGGGAUUAUCAAAUUGAUUUUUUAUUUUUGAAUUUUAUUGUUAUUCAUGUUUUUAUACUGUAUUUUAUGCUGUUUUUAUAAUUAAUUAAUAAUUAAAGCGGAUCUCCUACCAAAAGGCUGAUAUUAGGGGGAAUGUGCGUCAAAAUGAUUAUGCUAGCGUGAACAACAUACAGAAAUGCAUUCUAUGUUAGGCAAGGUUACAUUAAAAAAAGGCACUGGGGAAAUAUCCACUAGAAAGCCAUGAAAAGAGAAAGAAAUUUGCAAGCGCAGAGCUAUGGCGAAUUGAAUUCAAGCCACGCAAAGCUAAACCAUGGUUUGGCAUAGCGUGUUGACCUAACCUGGGCUUGUGAUUUAGGUCUCCUGGAUAAACCAUGGGCUGCAAACCAUAAGAGGAACCUUGGUUAAACCUUAGCCUGCAGAGAGCUAAACCACCAGCCUGGACAAUGUGCUAGGCCAAACGAUGGCUGAGGUUCAGAGGGGCACAGCAACAAAAUGUCUGGGAAGGAGCCAAGCAGAUGCAACCGCUUCUCCUACAGCCCACCCUUUCACAACAAACCACGGUUUCCAUGUCAUCCAGACCAGUGAAUACAAGCAAGAGAGAAGAUGGGGCAGGAAAGAGAACCGUCAAUAUUUUAGUUUCACAAACAUUUACUAGUUAAAUCCUGACAUUCUUCCCCUUCUCAAGGAGCAAAGACUUUUAACUCCAAAUUGCACAGAUCAGGAAAAACAAGAUGCACUGGGCAGGAUGGGGAAGAUGAUUAUCAAGCUUCGGAAUUCCUGAGAUUUUUGUUUUGCCUUCUCGUCUCCUCCUCAGAUCUCCACCCCACAGAUCCCAAAAGAUAAAAGGCACCCUUCAGCAGUCAGUGAAGAACUACUAGUGGCACAUCCUUCAAAAAGCAUCUACAGAGCACUUUUGGGCAUACAGUGAGCGCUUUAAGGACUUGUUCCAUGGAAUUGGUCAGAACCCUGCCAAAUAGCCUAAAAGAGCCACUGCCAGUCUGAGCAGACGAUGUUGAGCUAAAUGGAGCACUGGUCUCACUCAAUAUAAGGCAGCUGCCAAUGUGCCUCUUGAUAAGCAAAACACUUUGCCUCCCUGGAAGCUAAUAAGUUAGCAAAAAUGUAUAGAACAAGUACAAACAGCUGCUGGAAAUGUAAAGAAAAAGAAGGUACCUUGUAUUACAUGUGGUGGUCGUGUAAGGUAAUAAAAGCUUUCUGGGAGAUGAUAUAUAAUGAAAUGGAAAAAAUGUUUAAAAUACUUUUUGUUUAAAAAAUGGAAGCUUUUCUAUUAGGAACUAUAGGUACAGAAGUUCAAACGGACCAGAAAAGUCUCUUUAUGUAUGCGACAGCAGCCGCACGGAUGCUACUAGGCCAGGGAUGGAAAGAAGAAACAGUCGCUACCAGGGACCAAAGGCAAGCUAAGCUAAUGGACUACGCAGAAAUGGCAAAGGUGAGUGGAAAGCUCAGGAACAAAGAGGACAAAAAGCUUUUUAAAAGAAUGAGAAAAAAUUAUAAUCUAUUUAAGAGACCAAUGCAAGCAGAUGAAAACAUUAGCAGGAUUUUAAUCUCACUUGUAAUGUAACAAAUAUUAUGGACAAUACGGAUUGAUAUAAAAGAUAGAUUAUAGAAUAA